rnacentral:tRNA from 1 species
GGCAUAGCUCAGUGCUAGAGUGCAUGCUUAGUGUGCAUGAGGUCCUGGGUUCAAUCCCCAGUACUGCCA